GGGAACUUGGAGUAUAUAACAAGGAUGCCGACGCCCAGCGAGGCAGACGGUGUUGGGUGUUGAGUGUGUUAGCAGCUCACCCUUAACAAUCCUGAACCAACUCACGUGCAACAACCGAGAGUGUAAAGAGAAUAUCAAGUAAACACAUCAGCCCAAGAUGAACUUCCUCCGUGUCUGUGUGGUGAUCCUGGUGGUGCUGGUCCUGGCCACAGCCGCUCAGGCAGCGACCUUCUCUCGUCGUCGUAGUGGUGGUCGUUCAAGGUCCAAGACCCGCAUUCCCUAUGAUCCCUACGCCUUUGCUACGCCCGACUUAGUGAAAAUCUACGGUGUAUUCCCCGUCUUCUUGGAUGGAGUCCACUGAGACUACUACUACAGUACAUGUAUCUAUCAGCUGUGAUCAUCAGAAGUGUUACUAGUGGAGGCUCCAAAGAGGCAUUACGGCAACUGCUAAGUCGUCCUUGGUCGUCACAACAUGGCAUUUGUCUCGGGCAUUAGGGUUCCACGUACCUCGUUAUCUUGAUGAGUGUCAGUGGAUGCCGGAUGGCAUCAUAUACCUUGUUAUUUUGAUGAGUGUCAGUGAGUGCCAGAUGGCACCAUAUACCUUGUUAUCUUGAUGAGUGUCAGUGAGUGCCAGAUGGCACCAUAUACCUUGUUAUCUUGAUGAGUGUCAGUGAGUGCCAGAUGGCACCAUAUACCUUGUUAUCUUGAUGAGUGUCAGUGAGUGCCAGAUGGCACCAUAUACCUUGUUAUCUUGAUGAGUGUCAGUGAGUGCCAGAUGGCACCAUAUACCUUGUUAUCUUGAUGAGUGUCAGUGAGUGCCAGAUGGCACCAUAUACCUUGUUAUCUUGAUGAGUGUCAGUGAGUGCCAGAUGGCACCAUAUACCUUGUUAUCUUGAUGAGUGUCAGUGAGUGCCAGAUGGCACCAUAUACCUUGUUAUCUUGAUGAGUGUCAGUGAGUGCCAGAUGGCACCAUAUACCUUGUUAUCUUGAUGAGUGUCAGUGAGUGCCAGAUGGCACCAUAUACCUUGUUAUCUUGAUGAGUGUCAGUGAGUGCCAGAUGGCACCAUAUACCUUGUUAUCUUGAUGAGUGUCAGUGAGUGCCAGAUGGCACCAUAUACCUUGUUAUCUUGAUGAGUGUCAGUGAGUGCCAGAUGGCACCAUAUACCUUGUUAUCUUGAUGAGUGUCAGUGAGUGCCAGAUGGCACCAUAUACCUUGUUAUCUUGAUGAGUGUCAGUGAGUGCCAGAUGGCACCAUAUACCUUGUUAUCUUGAUGAGUGUCAGUGAGUGUCAGAUGGCGCCAUAUACCUCGUCAUGCUUAGGCCAAGUUAGGUUAAGUCAGGCCGAAAGUGUUACAGAGUCGACAGAAAAAAUACCGACUGGUGACGAAUGUAUUUAAUUUAAUCUAGUCAAGAAUCGGGGGAGAAUGACAUUAACAUAAAUGGUGUCCUGUAAGCAGCAACUGGCAAAAAUAGACAACAUACAGAAACAAGCACACAGCAGUCAUGAGCUAUACCUGUACCGUUCACACUUUUUGUCGUUUCCUGAAGUUCAUUUACUUACAUUUUCAUUUCACCGUGCUCGGUUUUACUCGUGUUAUCAGUAAUUGAUUAAACUGGCGUACCAGGCAAAAGUUGGCAUAUCCACAAUGAACCAAACUUUAAAAAUUUAUGUUUACGAAAAUUUGUUAUUGGGUCUUGUUAUAUUAAGUACUAAUUUAGGAUUAUAUUUAGUCUCACUGAACUGUGGUAAGAAAUGCUCCUGCUUACAGAGGAUCAACACAACAAUAAACCUUUCUAAUCUUUCACCUUAUGAAAGUACGAAGAUGUCAAUAUGAUAAAAAUAAAAUAAAAUAAAAUCCAGAAAUGUUCACAAAACAGCAGACGACACUAAACCGAGGGUAAUGUCAUAGUACCUUGACUGAUGGGGUGAACAAUGUAGCCUAAUGAGUCUUUCUUAAAGUGUUUAUGAAUUUGGGGCAUUGCAAGUUGCUAUAGACACAAUGUAAAACUACGAGGUGAAUUCUGUAAUCUUGGAAUGAUGAUGUUGAAUUGGUGAGAGUGGAGAGGUGGAGGAGCCUUGCGUCUUCCAGCUGGCCACCCAUAAUAACAUUCUCCACCAAGCAGACUUGAUAUUUUUGGUGACCAUUAUACAGUAGUCACUAAAUGUCUUAUUCUUGGUUCAUUUGUAUAUGAAACUGUCUUUACAACAGUCAUAUAUGAGGACAAAUUAAUGCACAUCCCUGUAUGUAAAUACAUUCUAAUUUAUAAUUCUAAAGUUAUGUAUCUACCUACAAACCUUACGUAUCCAUUGUAGGCAAUAAUAUAAUUGUAUAUGUUGCAAUAAAACACAUUAUAAUGCA